rnacentral:rRNA from 1 species
GACGAACGCUGGCGGCGUGCUUAACACAUGCAAGUCGAACGCUGAAGCUCAGCUUGCUGGGUGGAUGAGUGGCGAACGGGUGAGUAACACGUGAGUAACCUGCCCUCUUCUUUGGGAUAACGCCCGGAAACGGGUGCUAAUACUGGAUAUUCACUGAUUCUCGCCUGGGGGUUGGUGGAAAGGUUUUUUCUGGUGGGGGAUGGGCUCGCGGCCUAUCAGCUUGUUGGUGGGGUGAUGGCCUACCAAGGCUUUGACGGGUAGCCGGCCUGAGAGGGUGACCGGUCACAUUGGGACUGGGAUACGGCCCAGACUGCUACGGGAGGCAGCAGUGGGGAAUAUUGCACAAUGGGCGAAAGCCUGAUGCAGCGACGCCGCGUGAGGGAUGGAGGCCUUCGGGUUGUAAACCUCUUUCGCUCAUGGUCAAGCCGCAGCGUUGGGUUGUGGUGAGGGUAGUGGGUAAAGAAGCGCCGGCUAACUACGUG